AUGUUCAUGCUCACAGCAUGCACAAUUAAAAGCAAGUGUUUUCAAAAGGAAGGAUACAGCAUCUUCUCUUCUUCAAGAAAGAUGACACAGCCAAAACAUACCAAGCAAAAGAAUGCAUCAAUCUUUUGCCUCUGCUCUCCCCACACUCCAUCUAGGACCAACUGCAAAUUACCAGUUGGUCGCUUUUGAACAAUUCAUGGAGAUGCAGGGUAGAGCACGAACCCUAAUCUGAAUCGGAAUAUGCUAGAAAUGACCUUCUAAAUCCUCCAGCCACGUCUACAUCGAGUCGGUAGUACUUUACAGUUGAACUCUCGUCUCCACAUCACCUCCCGUGUGCUCGAUCGGUCACGCACAAGGCCACGCCGUCAUUAAAUUAGUCUAGUUGAAGGAGUC
rnacentral:lncRNA from 1 species